UUUGGUAACACACAAUAGGUUGUCAUUCUUCGAGCAAGUAUAGUUUUGUGCGAUAUUUUGCGAUAAUUAAAUAAAAAUAUGUGCAUUAUAGACGAGGUCUUCUUGAGAGAUGGGAUCGUGCCAUGUAUCUGCGUGAUCUACGAGUAUCUGGAAAUGUUUAUAAAGUCAAUGGUCUAGAGAAAAUUCCUGACAUGGAAAAAAAAUAGACAAUCAAACAAAAUGUUGUAGUACUAAAUUAUUAAAUCAUUUAUGUGAAUAAAAACCAUAUUCAAUUA